rnacentral:rRNA from 1 species
GCCAGUGACACAGUUUAACGGCCGCGGUACCCUAACCGUGCGAAGGUAGCAUAAUCACUUGUUCUCUAAAUAGGGACUAGUAUGAAAGGCACUACGAGGGCUUUACUGUCUCCUUUCUCCAAUCAGUGAAACUGAUCUCCCUGUGAAAAAGCAGGGAUAAAGAUAUUAGACGAGAAGACCCCAUGGAGCUUUAAACCCAACAACAACCCAAACGCUUCAACUCCUAAUAGUUUUACAAAGUACUGCUUGUUGGUUUUAGGUUGGGGUGACCGCGGAGAACAAACAAACCUCCACGACGUACGGGACCAACCCCUUACCCAAGAGCCACUCCUCGAAGGAUUAACAAAUUAACGUUAAAUGAUCCAACUUAUUGAUCAACGGACCAAGUUACCCUGGGGAUAACAGCGCAAUCCAUUUCUAGAGCCCUAUCAAAAAUGGUUUACGACCUCGAUGGUGGAUCA